AUUGAACGCUGGCGGCAUGCCUUACACAUGCAAGUCGAACGGUAACAGGUUAAGCUGACGAGUGGCGAACGGGUGAGUAAUGUAUCGGAACGUGCCCAGUCGUGUGGGAUAACUGCUCGAAAGAGCAGCUAAUACCGCAUACGACCUGAGGGUGAAAGCGGGGGCUCGCAAGACCUCGCGCGAUUGGAGCGGCCGAUAUCAGAUUAGGUAGUUGGUGAGGUAAAGGCUCACCAAGCCGACGAUCUGUAGCUGGUCUGAGAGGACGACCAGCCACACUGGGACUGAGACACGGCCCAGACUCCUACGGGAGGCAGCAGUGGGGAAUUUUGGACAAUGGGCGCAAGCCUGAUCCAGCCAUGCCGCGUGCGGGAAGAAGGCCUUCGGGUUGUAAACCGCUUUUGUCAGGGAAGAAAAGGUUCUGGCUAAUACCUGGGACUCAUGACGGUACCUGAAGAAUAAGCACCGGCUAACUACGUG
rnacentral:rRNA from 1 species